rnacentral:misc_RNA from 1 species
AAAUGGCAUGUAUACAUUGGGAGAGUUUGUUCCCUGCAUUUAUUCAUGUGAUGCAGGACUAGAAACAGGCAACACCAUGCAUGCACAGGGAUAAAUCUGUUGAAAAUCAGGAAGAAUUUGUGGUUUCCAACAGAUACAGAAGAAAAAGAAGAGUGAACAGGUACAAAGACAAUAUUUAACCAGUCAGAGCAGCAUUAAGGGCGCUGUGU